UACGUAGGUGGCAAGCGUUGUCCGGAUUUACUGGGCGUAAAGAGCGCGCAGGCGGUUAUUCAAGUCGAAUGUGAAAGCCCCCGGCUUAACUGGGGAGGGUCGUUCGAUACUGAUCGACUUGAAGGCAGGAGAGGGAAGCGGAAUUCCCGGUGUAGUGGUGAAAUGCGUAGAUAUCGGGAGGAACACCAGUGGCGAAGGCGGCUUCCUGGCCUGUUCUUGACGCUGAGGCGCGAAAGCUAGGGGAGCAAACGGG
rnacentral:rRNA from 1 species